rnacentral:rRNA from 1 species
GACGAACGCUGGCGGCGUGCCUAAUACAUGCAAGUCGAGCGAAGUUUUUCUGGUGCUUGCACUAGAAAAACUUAGCGGCGAACGGGUGAGUUACACGUAAAGAACCUGCCUCAUAGACUGGGACAACUAUUGGAAACGAUAGCUAAUACCGGAUAACAGUAUUUCUCGCAUGAGAGAUAUUUAAAAGUUGGUUAUGCUAACACUAUGAGAUGGCUUUGCGGUGCAUUAGCUAGUUGGUGGGGUAAAGGCCCACCAAGGCGACGAUGCAUAGCCGACCUGAGAGGGUGAUCGGCCACACUGGGACUGAGACACGGCCCAGACUCCUACGGGAGGCAGCAGUAGGGAAUCUUCCGCAAUGGGCGAAAGCCUGACGGAGCAACGCCGCGUGAGUGAAGAAGGAUUUCGGUUCGUAAAGCUCUGUUGUUAGGGAAGAAUGGAUAUGUAGUAACUAUACAUGUAAGAGACGGUACCUAACCAGAAAGCCACGGCUAACUACGUG